GACGAACGCUGGCGGCGUGCUUAACACAUGCAAGUCGAACGGUAAGGCCCUUCGGGGUACACGAGUGGCGAACGGGUGAGUAACACGUGGGCGAUCUGCCCUGCACUUCGGGAUAAGCCUGGGAAACUGGGUCUAAUACCGGAUAGGACCACUGCCUGCAUGGGUGGUGGUGGAAAGCUUUUGCGGUGUGGGAUGGGCCCGCGGCCUAUCAGCUUGUUGGUGGGGUGAUGGCCUACCAAGGCGACGACGGGUAGCCGGCCUGAGAGGGUGACCGGCCACACUGGGACUGGGAUACGGCCCAGACUCCUACGGGAGGCAGCAGUGGGGAAUAGUGCACAAUGGGCGCAAGCCUGAUGCAGCGACGCCGCGUGAGGGAUGACGGCCUUCGGGUUGUAAACCUCUUUCAGCACCGACGAAGCGCAAGUGACGGUAGGUGCAGAAGAAGGACCGGCCUACUACGUGCCAGCCGCCGCGGUAA
rnacentral:rRNA from 1 species